rnacentral:lncRNA from 1 species
AUCGCUUGUAAACUGGUCUGGAUACAUUUGUGUUCCAUAAGUUAUCCUGCUGCGAAUAAUUUCAGAGGUCUAAUCAGCUAUAGUCAAUCCAACUUGCGCGAUAGAUAUUUAAAGCUGCUGCUGGCGGGAAGGCUGACUUUACGCCGUAGACGAAAAUAAUCACAACGCUCCUACACUCGGCUCGAGUGACCAGACAACAAAAUUUUCAUUUUCAUUUUUUUGUGCGUAGUUUUCCUCGAAAGUUUUAAAAUGUAAUAUACUAGUUACUCACAUUUUGUCCGUUCGAUUUGUGGGUACUUUGGUGACGUUUGCCGCGCUCCUCGCUAAAGAAACGAUUUUUAAACUUUUUUAAUGGAAAAAGCUCCGAACAAUGAAGUAUCCAUUACAAAGGUACCGGCGAAGAAGACAGAUGAUAUCAAGAUUUACAAGACACGAUAGAAACUGUUAAUAAAUUAUCAACGGAAAAUAAACACGUGAGCUGCUCUAGAGUUAAAUCCAUUUCAACUUUGUAUGGAUCAACCACAAAAUAUAGAGCUGAAUCCACGAUGAACGAGUUAUUAGGAUGGUAUGGGUAUGAUGCAUCCAGAAACGAUUCCAAAGUAUCACGGAAUAGACGAUCGUUCUCUGAAAGUAAUGAAUCAGAAGCGGAAUCGGUUAAAUUUACUGGUAAGGCCAAUUUUAUAUUGAUUG